AAAAGCGUACAACUGUGAAUACACAACU
rnacentral:sRNA from 1 species